GAACGGUUUUUAUAAAUGAAUCGCGAAUUAAUUUUAGUGUUAAAUGGAACAAUCUUUGUCGUCGUUUUAUGAGCCCGACUGUUCAGGAACAGUUCAGUGUUGUGUCAGUUUCGAGAGACACUUGCGGAUUGGAACCUGACGGCGUGAAUGCAGGAAAUGAGGUGUACUUCCUGCAGACCGUCGCAUCCGCUGUUACCGAUACAAAGAAAGACAAUCGUGAACGCAUUCAGUAAUGAGGCC